rnacentral:lncRNA from 1 species
UUUGUUCAUGCCUGUGGCCCUAUUUACAUUCCCUACCUACGAACCCUCGUCUUUCCUAUGAAUCGACGUUCAUAUUAUUUUAUUAUGGUUGGCAUAACCUAUACAAGUAACUAAUGUUCAUUUUUUUACACUGUUUGAUAAGGAUGCCUCCAAAGAUAAAUAAUAUUUCUUCCACAUCAUAGGGCAAAAAAAGGGUCACGAGAUCUUCCAGCAUAGCUCGCACUCGACUUGAUGACGAGGUAUGCGGUAGUUUUCAACACUUGAGCACAAAGCUAGAUUUGAUAAUGUGGUCUCAAGAUGGAAACUUUGGCCAAGACGAUAGGUAGUGGUGGAAGACUUUCUAGGGUUUGAGUUGACCCAGUUGAUUCGUUUAGCAAGAUGGG